CCUACGGGCGGCUGCAGUGGGGAAUAUUGGACAAUGGGGGGAACCCUGAUCCAGCCAUGCCGCGUGUGUGAAGAAGGCCUUUUGGUUGUAAAGCACUUUAAGUGGGGAGGAGGCUUACCUGGUUAAUACCUGGGCUAAGUGGACGUUACCCACAGAAUAAGCACCGGCUAACUCUGUGCCAGCAGCCGCGGUAAUACAGAGGGUGCGAGCGUUAAUCGGAUUUACUGGGCGUAAAGCGCGCGUAGGUGGUUAAUUAAGUCAAAUGUGAAAUCCCCGAGCUUAACUUGGGAAUUGCAUUCGAUACUGGUUAGCUAGAGUAUGGGAGAGGAUGGUAGAAUUCCAGGUGUAGCGGUGAAAUGCGUAGAGAUCUGGAGGAAUACCGAUGGCGAAGGCAGCCAUCUGGCCUAAUACUGACACUGAGGUGCGAAAGCAUGGGGAGCAAACAGGAUUAGAUACCCCGGUAGUC
rnacentral:rRNA from 1 species